GUGGCGGCAGCUGGUGUUGGGGCUGAGGGCUUCCAGGCCAGGCUGGGAAAGGUCAGGGAAGGGAAGGAGUCAGGGUUCAGCCCUGUACCCCGACCCUCUGGGGCCUUUGUCAGUGGCCACAGCAGCCCAACACUCUCACCCCUCACCUGGCCUGACUGGAGAAGGCCCUGGGCCUGCCGGUUACCAUCCCACAUUGCCCCCACAGGGCUCUCAGUGUAGCAAGGGCAGGGAGAAGGCCCAGGCUGGAAGGCCCACUCCUCAUUCUCCCUGCCCCACCCUGCCAUGCCCAUCUUGAUGGUCACCAUGGCCUGCACCAGGCCUCCGGCGGAGAAGCUGGGCACCACGUACUUCAUGUCAAAGUCGCGAGAGGCCGCGUAGGGGGUGCGCGGGCACUGCCAGUCCUCGCCCGCCGCGAGCUUGGCAGGCAACAGCAGCAGCAACAGGAAGGACUGAGGCAGCGGCGGGAGGAGCUCCAUCGAGGCGAGCUGGGACCCUAGGGGAUCCCUACGGGCCUGGGCCUGGACCUGGGCGUGGGCCUGGCUGGGGGCCCGACUCGAGGUCUGGACUGGGCCAACUUUAAGCAGCGGUCCCGACAGCCCCAAGAUAGCGGACCCCCGCCCCAGGUUCCUGUGAAACCCAAAUCCCUUCCCGGCCCUCGGGUCUGAGCACCUGACGCCUGCAGACGCACGACAGCAACGCCCCAGCCGCCUCACCUGCCGCCCCAGCCGCCGCUGUACACUGGCGCUUAGCGCUCAGCCGACCCGAGGGCGCCGGGCUGGGCGGGCGGAGUCGGGCUGUGGGGGCGGGGCCGCGAGGGAGGCGUGGCCUAGCCCAGGCCCUCCGCCCAUCCGACUCUUCCGGCCCUUGGAAGCCUGGCUCCUGUACCUUCACCUGGCGUCUUGGCGCCUUUUUCUCAGCGGCCUGUGGGUGGAUGUGCAUGGUGUGGCCUGGAGAGAGGAGCACUCUUUCCCUUUUCUCCUUUUGCCACCUAAAUGGCACCUCCUCCAGGAAGCCUUUUUGAUCCAGACUUUGCCAGUCCCCUCUCCUGGGUCUCACAGACCCAGUGCUACACUCACCCCAGCACAGUUUACUCUGGAUACUUCACUUCCUCCAUCCCCAGUGCAGGACACCCCCUCCUUCCAGCCUGGAGCUCCAUGAGCACCUGAAGACUGAAAGAGGAAAUGGAACUGGGGGUGGCCACACCCAGUGCAGGGUUGAUACUGUGCCCUGAGGUGACAUAAAAGACACUCCUUUUCCAAAGCAGAAUUGGCCAGGAAAUGAAUAAACACCCGGAGAAAACCGUGGCGUGGUUCCUGCAUUCCACAGUCAACACAUCUAAAGAUAGGCAAGGCAAAACUAAAAUGAAACAUUCUCAGCCUGGCGCACAGACAGGGGUUCUGGUGACCCAAAUCCCACCUCCAGACUUUCAGAGGGAUCUCUGGUGGUUGGGAGAAGACUUCACAAGCCCUCUUAGAUCACCCCACCCACCCCUUUUUGGGGGUGGGGUUGCAGCAACCAUCCGUUAGUUCUCCGCUGCCACCGUGUGGCCGCGCUAAUGGCUGUCCCCAGGCUGAGGUCCCCUGUAAGGCAGCCUUGGUUCUCAACAGCGGGGGUACACAGGAGCACCCCUUCCCCCUCUCGCCAUCUGCCGCCUCUAUAGGAGGGGGCAGUCAAGGUGUGUGGGGGAGGUCAGCUAAUGGGACUCUUAAGUGCCAAGUACAAGGGCACCCCCAAGCUAACAUAGCUGGCUAAGAACCUGCUCGACUGCCCUAGCACCUGACGCCUUGAAGGAAUGCUAGCCACUUUUCCCUCCUUGAGCUCUCAGUCCCCUCUGAACACUGUUCUAGAGAACUAGGUCUAACCUCUUUCUCUAAUCCCAAGAUCACCUUAGCAGUAGCAAGGGAGUCUCUCUAACUGCAGUAUGACCACAUCACACUGCAGGUUACCUGGAGUUUGAGAACCCCAGCCCUUGUGUGGACCACUCCAGCUUC